UACGUAGGAGGCAAGCGUUGUCCGGAAUUACUGGGUGUAAAGCGCGUGUAGGCGGCAGGCCAAGUCUGUGGUGAAAUCGCUCGGCUCAACUGGGCGGGGUCCACGGAAACUGGUCAGCUGGAGGACGGUAGAGGUGAGUGGAAUUCCCGGUGUAGUGGUGAAAUGCGUAGAGAUCGGGAGGAACACCCGUGGCGAAGGCGGCUCACUGGGCCGGUCCUGACGCUGAGACGCGAAGGCGUGGGGAGCGAACGGG
rnacentral:rRNA from 1 species